rnacentral:lncRNA from 1 species
UGGGGAUGAGCAUUGAGGAUGUGAUUGAGGAAUGCAAGCUGUUUUACUUUGCUGGCCAAGAGACCACUUCGGUCUUACUGGUGUGGACUAUGGUUUUAUUAGCAAGGUAUCCCGAUUGGCAAAGUAAAGCAAGAGAGGAGGUUUUGCAUGUUUUGGGUGACAGUAAACCUGAUGCUGAUGGCCUUAAUCGUCUCAAAGUUGUAAGUCCCUAGCAUGUCUUUUGAAGGUCCGAUCAAUGAGGUCGACAACUCAAAAACUUGGUUUUUUUUGUUUCGCUAAUUCUACAGGUAACAAUGAUAUUGUACGAGGUUCUAAGGUUGUACCCACCAGUGGUUGAGCUAGGACGUUCCGUUCCAAAAGAAAUAAAACUGGGGAAUUUGUUGUUACCAGCAGGAGCAGAAGUUUCGGUUCCGAUCCUGCAGAUCCACCAUGACAAAGAUCUUUGGGGUGACGACGCACGGGAAUUUAAGCCAGAGCGGUUGGCGGAAGGGGUUUCCAAAGCAACAAAGAGUCAAGUCACGUUUCUGCCAUUCGGAUGGGGUCCUAGGAUCUGUAUUGGCCAAAAUUUUGCCAUGAUGGAAGCCAAAAUGGCGAUGGCUAUGAUUCUCCAACGCUUCUGGUUCGAGCUUUCCCCUUCCUAUGCUCACUCUCCUUACAGCAGGGCAACUCUUCGUCCACAGCAUGGUGCACAGAUAGUUUUACAUAAACUUGGCUCUAAUUGAAUUGUUAUGUAAACAGAUCUUUUUGAAAAUAUAGCGUUUUAGUGUAUCGUCAAAGUCCGGUGUCUGUAAUGGUACAAUUCCGAUGCAUGAAUAGUAAAUUUUAAGAUGUUUGGUUAAGUCCGAAAUAAUAUGCAGAAAUUGAGUGUCUUGAAUGGAUGUAGUAUUUAAUGGUGGACAUAGUUGAGGGAUUAAUGUGGUAAUUAUCGAACAAAUAAUUGCAUAUGGUACAAAGACUUAUAUGGAAAUUAGAGCGGGGGGAGUAGAAAAUGACUACUUUGCUUUGGGCAUCAAUUUAGAAAGAUUUAAAGUACAAAUGUAUUAUUAGUUUAAAGGAUUUGUUUUAAAGAAGGAAUGACAAUUAAACCUCAUGGUUGAUUUGUGGAAGGGAACCGAUGAUGGGAUGAUUAUUCUUAGUGGUAAAAAAAAAACUAUUAAGGAGGUUAUUAUACUUGUUAUCAAUUUCUCAAAAUUUGAAUGGGUUUAAGUCAGAUUAUAUCGAGCUUGUUAGAUGAGUUCACGGACCAAGCUUGCAUGAUAAUGGCUGCUUACAGAAAUGUAUCUAUAGUUUUCUACAAAGUCAUAUGUGAAAUUAUGCAUUGGUACCGCAUAAACAUGUUUUAUGUCUAGAAUAUUAUACGUGUCUAUGUGCAUGGAAUCUACCUAGUAUAUCAUAUCAAUGAACAGUAUCAAUGGUGGACCUCAAAAGUAUUUUUGGGGGAUCAGAAUUAAACUGUAUGUUUUUAUGAAAGUAAAAAUUUAAUUUCACUAUUUUAUAGUCAAUUUCUUUUUAAUUUUUGAAGGAUUAAAUCAAAUUUUUAUAAAUUUUUAGGAGGUUGAAGUACAAUUUUAUCAUUACUAAUUUAAAAUUUUAUAAAUUAUAAAAAAUAUAAAUAAAAAAUUUUAUAUUUUAGGAUAGCCAAGGCUCCUGCCAACUCUAACUCACUGAAUAGUAUAAAUAAAUAAAUACCAUCAUCUAAAAUAUGGGUAAGUGUCCAAAAUAUGAUUUUGGUGAAAAUAUGUAGGGUUGGUCUCAUGGAAGUGUAAAGACAAGAACCCCGCUAAUGUAUGGGAUGUGUAAAGUUGAAUCUAGGGAGCAAAUAGGAGUGAAUCAUUUUGGUAACAUUUGGACAAGAAACAUAAUGAACAAAAUGAAAGGAGAGGAAGCUAGUAAAAGAUUUUUUUGGGUCAUAUAAUUUGUUUGGCAUAUAUUUUUAUAAUUUUUAAAUAUCAUUUUGGAGUUGAAUUAUAACUUUUUUUUAUAUAUUAUCUUAAAAUUUUAUAAAAUUUAAGGAGUUAAAACGUAAUUAUUCCAUGGGUCAGAGCUGCCCUCGCUUUGCAUUUCUUUGAGAUUCAGCCUUAUCUCAAUUGAGGGUUGAGUAGAAAGAUUUGGUGGAGCAAGCAAAGCUAUCAAUCAAGGUUGGAGAAAGCUUAGGAGGUCACAAUGCAUAAUUAUUUAAAUGUAAUUCUAAUAUUUAAAUAAAAUUUAUUAAUAUAAUAUCAGCAAGUGUUAAAUAUAAUGAUCAGAUACCAUUAUAUUUUUAGAAAGAGAAAAUAUGUUUAAACCUUAAAAACGGCGUUACUAAAAAUAAUAAUCACAAAUCUUGAAAUAUAAAAAAUAAAUUUUUUAAUAUAAUUAAAAUUUAAUUUGAAAGCCGAGCUGGAUAAAAUUCUAAUUUUAGAUAAUGGUACCAACAACAAAUCAAUAUUUAAAUUAAAAUUAAUCUAAAUUUAAUAUAAUCAAAUUGGACUCUAAUAUUAAAUUUAAUAUAAUCAAGGUUCAUGAACUUUAUACCCUAUGCUUUACGUAAUUGAAAAAAAAAUCAUUGGACAUAAAAGUCUACGAAAAGUUUCACUAUAUUAAUAAAUAAAUAAAUAAAAAAUAUUGCUACAAGAUUACAACACAAAGUUACAAUAAGAGCUUAUAACUUAACAAAGGCUAUCAAUAAAUAAUCUCAAACAAACUAAAGAGAAAUAUUGAGAGUCCCACCAAAUAGUGAUUGCCUUUAAAAGUUAAAAACUCGAAGUUAUAGUAUCUCAAAUGAAAUUAAACCAUGAACAUUAAAUUUUUCGAGUCUACUAGCUACUGUAAAAAAUUGAGCUCCAACGGACAACAAAUGAACCUUUGAUCGAAGAAAAUACGAAAAUUAGUCUCGGUAAAUCAAGCUGCCAAACUUACUUUUUAUCUUAUCUUUAAUUUGUAAUAAAAUUCAAAAUUAAGGUUUUGUUUGUUUCACUUAGAACAACUUUCAAAAAAUUAAUUUUGGAAAAUGGAUUGAUUUUUCGAAAUAGAUGAUAUUUUAUUGUGUAAAAAUUUUAUUUGUUGUUUGAUGAACUUUUUUUUAAAUCAUUUUUUUAGAAUUAUUUUUAGUGAAACAAAUAUAUCAUAAAUAUAUUUGUUACAAAAUAUUAUAUUAGUAUUUUCUUUUGACAAUUAAAGUUUAUUUUAUGAUAAGACAAUAUUUUAUAAUAAUUAAUAUCAUAUAUACUUAAUAAUAAAUCAUGUCUAAUUAAAAUUUAAGUUAAAUUAAAUAUAUUAAUAAAGCUACAUAUAAUCAUAUUUUAUAUAAUUAAAAUAUUAAUAUAAAUAUUUUUCAAUAAGAUAUUAAAGAAUAUUUAAAAUUUAAAUUUAUUAUUACUAAAAUUAAUUAUUAAAAUAAAAAUGUAAUAUUAAAUAAUUUAUCUAAUGAUAAGUUAUAUUAAUAAUUUAUUAUAUCAUUAAAUAAAAAUAAUUAAAUAUGUAUGUUUAAUAAUAUUAUGUUAUAAUAUUCAUUAUUAAUAUCUUAAUAUUCUUAAACAGCCGUGUCUCAAAGAUGGUUGUGAUGGUGAUGUGAUGAUGCAGCCCCCCUUCUUACAAUUACAAUAAUUUUUAGUGCAAUAAUUAAAGUUGCUGAGUGGUAAAGUAAACUUCUUUUGACUGAGAUGCAUGUAAUAUAUGGAUGUUGAGGUUUUAGACUGCGCCAUCUUUAAAGGGGUUAAAUUAUAUAUUUAUAUAAUAUGAUUAUUGUUUAUGAAUAUAAUAUUAUAGAUAAGUUUUUAUACAUAUUAAUAUGUAUUUUAUUUUAAUGUUAAUAUGUAGUUUUUUAGAUGUGGAUUCACCUAUAUAAUGAUAUGAACUCAUUAUGCAGUCUCAUGAAAUAUGCAAACACAUAUAGUGUAAAUAUAAAGUAUGAACCACCAAAAGUACAGAUCAACACCUAAUUGAAUAAUUGGAUAACAGAUAGGUAAUAAUAAAUAUCAUUCACUAUCCCCUCUUGUUUUAAUUUAUUUUAUUUCCAGUGAGUUAUUUUUUUUAUGAUAAAUUUGCAACAAAUGUUUUUAUCAUUAUUUUGUUGGUAAAUGAUAAUAAGAUUAAAUUUACUUUCGUAAGCUCCUUCAAUUCUUUGGAGUUAGUGGUUUUUUAUUCUGAUCUUUUUUUCUUAUUAAAUUUUUUAUAAUAAAUGUGUUUAUAGAUGAGGUUAGAUUAUAAUUGAAUUAUUUUAUAGCAUUAACAUAAUUUAGAUGGAUUAAAAUUUAUUCUACUAAAAAUAUAAAUUUAAAAUUUUACUUCAAUUUAUCUUAAUUUAUAAAUGAUGAAUUUAAAUUUACUUUUUCCCCAUUAUAUUCAAUUUUCCACAUAAUAUUUGGCCUAGAACAAAAACUAGAACAAUAAAACAAAUAUAAACUAUGCUACAAAGAGUAUACAGCUACAGAAAGCUGAAAUGUUUUCCAAAAAUUAUAUUGUUAACUUUUAAAAAAAAUAUUUUAGCUAUUUAUCAUCAUGAAGAAAAAAGAUACAGUCAUGCACCUGGCCUCAUGCUUCAACACCUCAACCUAGAUUCUCAUCACCUGUAUUUAUCAUCGAUUCAGAUCUUUAUUUUUACUAUAUUCUAGAUCUCCCUAUAAAUAUAUCUUCAAACUUCCUUUGGUUAAGUUCAUUCAUAGAUGGGUGAGUAAACUUGAGCUUCAGCUUUCCACAAACACCUUAAUUUGAAGACACUGUUCUCUCAUGCUAAAAACCACAUGGACGUUUACCAUGUAAUUAGAGAGUUGGUUUCAUUGCUUGUUGUUGGGUUAUUAAUGAUAUGGGGAUGGAGAGCUUUAAACUGGGUAUGGCUGGCUCCAAAGAGGCUCGAAAGGUGCUUGAGACAACAGGGUUUAGCAGGGAAUUCUUACAGGUUCCUUUCUGGUGACAUAAAAGAGCUCUUCACUAUGAGCAGACAAACAAGAGCCAAACCUAUGCCUCUUAGUGAUGAUAUUGGGCCUUAUGUUGUUCCUUUUCAACAUCAAACUGUCAACCAGUAUGGUAUGUUUUUUUGUUUAAUCUGCAAUUUAUGAUAAUUCUUUUUUAUUUAUGUAUGGAAUUUAUUGGGAGGAAAUGCAGGAAAGAAUUCAUUUACGUGGUUUGGUCCAAGACCAAGGGUGAACAUUACGGACCCUGAAAAAAUAAAAGAAAUACUUAACAAAUUUAAUGACUUCCAGAAGGUACGUACCAAUCCACUUGUUCAUUUGCUUGUAAGCGGCCUUGUUAACCUCGAAGGAGACCGAUGGAGCAAGCAUAGAAAAAUCAUAAACCCUGCAUUUCAUCAAGAUAAGUUGAAGGUAUAGAAUAGUGAUGGGUACUCAGACUUUAAAGAAAACAUCAUACUUAAACCUAUGCUUUUCUGACUUAGAAAAUAAUUGGAUGCAGAAUAUGUUGCCAGCAUUUUAUCAAAGUUGUAGUGACAUGUCAAGCAAAUGGGAGAAGAUGGUGUGUACAGAAGGAUACUGUGAGUUAGAUGUGUGGCCUUAUCUCGUAGAUUUGACAAGAGAUGUGAUUUCCCGAUCUGCUUUUGGAAGCAGCUUCGAAGAAGGCAAACGAAUUUUCCAAUUACCAGAGGACCAACUCGUUCUCACAAUCAAAUUAAUACAAACUGUUUACAUUCCAGGAUGGAGGUAACCCUCAACUUAAUUUACUUGAAAAAGGUUGCAAAUGUUGGAAUUCGCUAAAAGCGUGUUUGUUUUCUUGAAGGUUUUUGCCAACAAAGACAAACGGGGAGAUGAAGAUGAAAUACAAAGACAUAAAAGAGUCGCUUAGGGAAAUGAUAAAGAGAAGAGAGAAGGCAAUUAAAGCAAGGGAAGAGAGCAAUGAGGACUUGUUGGACAUACUUGUGGAAUCCAAUAUCAGAGAAAUGGAAGCAAAGAAUAUGGGGAUGAGCAUUGAGGAUGUGAUUGAGGAAUGCAAGCUGUUUUACUUUGCUGGCCAAGGGACCACUUCGGUCUUGCUGGUGUGGACUAUGGUUUUAUUAGCAAGGCAUCCCGAUUGGCAAAGUAAAGCAAGAGACGAGGUUUUGCAUGUUUUGGGUGACAGUAAACCUGAUGCUGAUGGCCUUAAUCGUCUCAAAGUUGUAAGUCCCUAGCAUGUCUUUUGAAGGUCCGAUCAAUGAGGUCGACAACUCAAAAACUUGGUUUCUUUGUUUCGCUAAUUCUACAGGUAACAAUGAUAUUGUACGAGGUUCUAAGGUUGUACCCACCAGUGGUUGAGCUAGGACGUUCCGUUCCAAAAGAAAUAAAACUGGGAAAUUUGUUGUUACCAGCAGGAACAGACGUUUUGGUUCCAAUCCUGCAGAUCCACCAUGACAAAGAUCUUUGGGGCGACGACGCACGGGAAUUUAAGCCAGAGCGGUUCACGGAAGGAGUUUCCAAAGCAACAAAGAGUCAAGUCACGUUUCUGCCAUUCGGAUGGGGUCCUAGGAUCUGCAUUGGCCAAAACUUUGCCAUGAUGGAAGCCAAAAUGGCGAUGGCUAUGAUUCUCCAACGCUUCUGGUUCGAGCUUUCCCCUUCCUAUGCUCACUCUCCUUACAGCAUGGCAACUCUUCGUCCACAGCAUGGUGCACAGAUAAUUUUACAUAAACUUGGCUCUAAUUGAAUUGUUAUGUAAAUAAAUCUUUGUGAAAAUAUAUAGCUUGUUAGUGUAUCGUCAAAGUCCGGUGUCUGUAAUGGUACAAUUCCGAUGCAUGAAUAGUAAAUUUUGAGAUGUUUAGUGAAGUCCGAAAUAAUAUGCAGAAAUUGAGUGUCUUGAAUGGAUGUAGUAUUUAAUGGUGGACAUAGCUGGGGGACUAAUGUGGUAAUUAUCGAACAAAUAAUUGCAUAUGGUACAAAGACUUGUAUGGAAAUUAGAGCAGGGGGAGUAGAAAAUGACUACUUUGCUUUGGGCAUCAAUUUAGAAAGAUUUAAAGUACAAAUGUAUUAUUAGUUUAAGGGAUUUGUUUUAAAGAAGGAAUGACAAUUAAACCUUAUGAUUGAUUUGUGGAAAGGAAUCGAUGAUGGGAUGAUUACUUUUAGUGGUAAAAAAAACUAUUAAGGAGGUUAUUAUAUUUGUUAUCACCGGCCCAAAAUUUAAAUGUAGUCACGUCAAAUUAUAUCGAGCUCGCAAUAUGAGUUCACGGACCAAGUUUGCAUGAUAAUAGGUGUUCACAUAAAGGUAUUUAUAGUUUACUGCAAAGUCACAUGUGAGAUCGUGCAUUGGAACCGAAUAGACAUGUUUUAUGUUUAGAAUAUGAUACGUGUCUAUGUGCAUAGAAUCUACCUAGUAUAUCAUAUCAAUGAAUAGUAUCAAUUGCGGAGCCAAAAUUUUUUUGAGGGGUAAGAAUUAAAUUGUAUAUUUUUACUAAAAUAAAAAUUCAAUUUUACUAUUUUAAUAGUUUAUUUCUUUUUAAUUUUUAAAUGAUUAAAUCAAAUUUUUAUAAAUUUUUAGAGAUCAAAAUAUAAUUUUAUCAUUACUAAUUUAAAAUUUUAUAAAUUAUAAAGUAUUUAAAUAAAAAAAUUUCCUAUUUUAGGGUGACCAAGGUCCUGCCAACUUCCUACUCGAUCACUGAACAGUAUAAAUAAAUACCAUCAUCUAAAAUACUCAAGAAAAACACUCAAGGAUAAAUAGAGAGAUGUUGGGUAAGUGUCCAAAAUAUGAUUUAAGUGAAGAUACGUGUGGUAGGUGUCAUGGAAAUGUAAAGACAAGAAUCCCACUAAUGUAUGGGAUGUGUACACUUGAAUGUAGGGAGCAAAGAGGAGCGAAUCAUUGUGGUAACAUUUGGACAAGAAAUAAUGAACAAAAUGAAAGGAGAGGAAGCUAGUAAAAGAUUUUUUUGGGUCAUAUAAUUUGUUUGGUAUAUAUUUUUUUAAUUUUUAAAUAUCAUUUUGGAGUUGAAUUAUAGUUUCUUUUUAUGUUUUAAAACAUAAUUAUUUUAUUUUUAGAGUGUCAAAGUAGAGGUGAGCAUGGAUCAGACUACUCGGCUCGGCCGGAAGAUCUGUCUGAAAUGUGAGAGGUUUGAGCAAAAAUAUAGGCAAAAAAAAUGGGCUUGGACAAAAAAUAUAAGGCUCGUUUAGAAAAUGGGUCGGGCCUUGAGUAAGACAUUUUUGGCCUCGAGCCUGGCCCGGCUUGAAUUCACUAAAGGACAAAAAAAAUUAAUUUUUUAAAUAUUAUUUUCUUGUUAUUUUCUUCCUAUUUUGCUACCAUUGUACUAUUAUGUUACUACUAUUUUGUUGUUAUUGUUUGGAUAUUGUAUAAACCUUAUUUUAUUGUUAAUUUUGUUAUUAUUUUAAAGACAUUUGUUAAUUUUGUUAUUAUUUUAGAGACAUUUGCUUGUUAAGUUGCAUCUAUCUUAGUGUUAUUUAAGUAUACAUAUUUUUUAAAAUUUAUUUUCAAUUUGUUGGAAAAUAUUUAUUUUAUAUUUUUAGUAUUUUAGAUGUAUUAUAUAUAUUUUAAAAUUAUAUAAAAAUUAAUAUGGACAGGAGGGUCGAGCCCGAGUUUUAGCAUUUUUAUUCGGGUUAGGCUUGGACAAAAUUUUAAGCCCAUUUUUUGGGCCGAGCCUAACAAACAGUCUUGAAUUUUUAGUUGAGCUUGGCCCGGCCCAUGCUCACCUCUAGUUCAAAGCUGCCCUCGCUUUGCAUUUCUUUGAGAUUCAGUUUUAUCUACUGUUGAUUGGCCACUCAAUUGAGGGUUGAAUAGAAAGAUUUGGUGAAGCAAGCUAAGCUAUCAAUCAAGGUUGGAGAAAGCUUAGGAGAUCACAAUGCAUAAUUAUUUAAAUGUAAUUCUAAUAUUUAAAUAAAAUUUAUUAAUUUAGUAUUAACAAGCCUUAAAUGUAAUGAUCAUAUACUAUUACAUUUUCAAGAAGAAAAAAUAUGUUUGAACCUUAAAAACAACAUUAUUAAAAAUAAUAAUCACAAAUCUUAAAAUAUAAAAAAUAUAAUUAAAAAUUAAUUUUAAACUCGAGCUGUAACAGCCCAAAUUUCAGUGGUGUCGGAAUAGUGAUGUGAGAUCACUAAAUACGACAUGUGAGUUUAGAUAUUAGUAAGUAAAAGUUAAGUGUGAUUUUAGAAAUAUUUUUGAAUUAGUGAAAUUGUGAAUUAAAGAAAAUUUCUAGAUAAAAACGAGGUAUCGAGACCUCUAAUUCAUAAACCAAGCCAUAAAUAUUUUUAGAAAUAUUUAUGGAGUGUUACUAAGUUAGUAUUAAAGUUUUGUUAAGAGAUUUUAACAUUUCAGUAAUUAAUUGAAGAAAAAUGACUAAAUUGAAUAAAGUGUAAAACUAUCAAAUAUGAUUAAAUAGCUUAAGAGAUCAUUAAGGAAUGAGUUAAAAGGUAAAUAGACCCAAAUUAGGUGGGUUGGACGGCAUGAGUGUGCAGGAAAUGUAAAAAAAUCAAGUGUGAACAAAGGGCAAAAGUGAAAAUAGGGUAAAAUUUAAUUGUAAAAUAUGAUGUAGUUGGUAAUUUUAGAGAAUUCAUCAUUUUUCUUCAUCUUCAUCAGCUAAAAACACCAUUAGAGAGCUUUUAAGAAGCUGGUUUUAUAUUUUACAGCAUGUAAGUUCAAUUCUUGAUUAUUUAGUUCAAUUCUUGAUUAUUUCUUGUAAUUUUUGUGUUUUUUGAGACUUUUACAAUUGGGUCCUACUAUUUAACUUAUUAGUUUUUGCUUUUAUGAAUGGUUUAGAAAGUUUCCAUAAAUAAGAGCUGAAAUUUUAUGAUGAUUUAUUAUGGAAUUGGGACUGUAAGUUUAUUAUAUGAUGAUUUUAUGAAGAGAUUUUAUAAGAAUUGAUUUUUAGGACCUAAUUGUGAAAGUCGUUGUAAUUAGGGUUUUGUGUUAAAACUUUGAAUUUCAAAGGCUUGGAAGUAGUUAUAAUGUUUAGAUAAAAUGAUAUUUUAGAAUAAUUAGUUCAAUUGAUGAACAAAUUGAGCAAUGACUAAAUUGUAAAAAUUGAAAAGUUUGAGAAAAAAUGUAAUUUCAAAAAUUAAAGGGUAUAAAUUGUGAAGUAGAAUAGAAUUGAAAUAGAUGCUCAUGAGGGAAUGAUUUUAUAAUUACAGAUCAAGAAAACGAAGUGAAUCGUGGAAAGGAGAAAUUGCAAGAAUAUUCCCUGAAAUUUCUACGACUUUUGCAAAUCAGCCCAGUUAAGUUCAUAUGGAAAAAAUUAAUGUUUUGUUAUGAAAAUCUUAUGAUUUGAUAAGGUAUAUUAUUAUAGAUGAAUACUAUCAAAUUGUAAUAAUUAUGAAAUAAUAUUUAAGUAAAAGUACAAAUUAGUUGGAACAAUGGAUUUGAGUGCUUUCGUUCUGUGACCAUGAUGAAUUGAUGGAAAAGGUGUGAUAUGUGCGCCCGUAUAAGACCAUAGCUGGGCUAUGGCAUCGGUGCAAUGUGAUAUGUGCUCCUGUAUAAGACUAUAGUUGGGCUAUGGCAUCGGUGUGAUGUGAUAAUGUGCUUCUGUAAAAGACCAUAUUUGGGAUAUGGCAUCGGUAUGAUAUGUGACCCGUGUAAGACCAUAACUGGGCUAUGGCUUCGGUGUGUGAUAUGUGACUAUGUGCAAGUCUAUGGUUUUACCAUGGCAAUGUGAUAAUGAAGCACUCAAUUCCAUUAUUGUUUCCUAAUUUGACUAUGAAAGUAAAUGAGAAAUAGGCCCAAGAGAUCUAAAAUUGGUGAAUAGUGACAUUGAAAUCAAUCAAAUGAGUUUAUUAAUGAUUUGUGAUUUACAGGAAGGUUUAGUGAAAUUAAAUAUUAUAUGAUUGUGUGCAAUAUUCGGUAAGAUUUAUUUUUCUGUGCUUAUGAGCGUACUAAGCUUCAAUAAGCUUACUUGUGUAUGUUAUUUGUUUUGUAGAUUGACUUAUAUACAUACGGAGGAUUGGAUCUACAUCGAGGAUCACGCUAUCCAGAUUUAUUCUGGUAGAUUUUGUUAAACAACUUUUUGAUUUAUAUGGCAUGUAUAGGGUUGAUUUGAUAAUGUAAUAGUAUGAAUGAUUAAGUAUGUAAAGUAAAUUGAAUGCGAUGGUUGUGUUUGAUAAUGAAAUAUACAUGUUUUGGCUUGAAAUAGUUGAUUUGUUGGACUUUAUUAGUGUAUAAAUGUGAUUUUGUGCAGGAAAAUAUUAAAAGGGUGAGAAAAGAGGCAUUAAAUGACCUAUUUUCGUCCACACGAGUAGGCGCAGGACAUGUGUGACACACAACCUACUAUAUGGGCAUGUGAUAAGAUCGUGUGUCCCUUGCAACUUAAAAAUGAGAAUCAGAAUGUCCAGGUUUAGGCACAUGGCCUAACAUAAGGGCGUGUGGCUUGACCGUGUGACACACCCACGGGCUUUAACAUGGCCGUGUGAUACGGCUGUGUGAAGUCUGCACUUAAAAUGUGAAAUUUAAUUAUCACACGGCCUAGCAACACAGACGUGUGCUCAGGCUGUGUGACUCAAGUUUCUUCUUGAAUGCAAGUCAGAGAGCUCCACGGGCUUGGGACAUAGGCGUGCGUGACCACACAGCCUACCCACACGGGCGUGUCCCUAUCCACACGGGCGUGUGGCCCUGUUUCAUGAUAAUUUUUUUUAAAAUUUUCUAAAAGCUCUGAAAGUUCUUAGUUUGGUCCCGAUCUAUCUCCAACAUAUAUUUUGGGCCUCGUAGGCCCGUAUAAGGGACUUUAAGCAUGUGUUUGAAUAAUAGUUAAUUUGGAAUGAAGUUUUAUGAUCUGGUUUUGGGUGUUUAAUUGUGUUUAAGCCUGGUAAUACCUCGUACCCUGUUCCGGCGUAGAAUACGAGUAAGGGGUGUUACACAAGCUGGAUAAAAUUCUAAUUUUUGAUAAUGAUAGUAAUAACAAAUCAAUAUUUAAAUUAAAAUUAAAAUUAAUUUAGUAUAAUAUAAUUUUUGAGUUUUCGGCAAAGGCACUCAAUGAAUGCUUGGAAAGAAAUAAUGCAACUUAGUGAAAUAAUGCAACUUAGUGAUAGCUUUUGUUGGAGUUAUAUGCUGUUAUUAUAGUUUUAUGUUUUUAUCUUGCAAAAACAACAUAUUGGAGUUUUCGGUGGACUUUUAAGUUUCAUGAUUUUUUCCUAAUACUUUACGUGAAAAAAAUAAUGGUACUUAAAAAUCUAACAAAAGCUUCUCUAUAAUUUUUAUAAAAAAAACAUUGCUACAAUAUUACAACACAAAGUUACAAUAAUAGCUUAUAACUCAACAAAGGCUAUCAAUAAAUAAUCUCAAGCAAGUUAAAGAGAAAUGUUGAGAAUACCACCCAAAUAGUGACCGACUUUAAAAGUUGAAAACCCAAAGCUAUAGUAUCUCAAACGAAAUCAAACCAUAAAUAUUAAAAUUUUUCGAGUCUAUUAGCUACUGUAAAAAAAUUUAGCUCCAACAGACACCAAAUGAGCCUUUGAUUGAAGAAAAUACGAAAACUAGUCUAGGUAAACCAAGCUGCCAAACUUACUUAUCUUAUCUUUAAUCUGCCGUGAAAUUCAAAACUAAGUUUUUGUUUAUUUCACUUAGAACGACUUUCAAAAAAUUAUUUUUGAAAAAUGGAUUGAUUUUUUUGAAAUAGAUGAUAUUUUAUUGUGUUGAAACUUUAUUCGUUGUCUGAAAACUUUUUUUAAAUUAUUUUCUUAGAGUUAUUUUUAGUGAAAUAAACAUAACAUAAAUAUAUUUGUUAUAAAAAAUUAUAUUAGUAUUUUCUUUUGACAAUUAAAAUUUAUUUUAUGAUAAGACAAUAUUUUACAAUAAUUAAUAUCAUAUAUAUACGUAAUAAUAAAUCAUGUUUAAUUAAAAUUUAAUUUAAAUUAAAUAUAUUAAUAAAGCUACAUAUAAUCAUAUUUUAUAUAAUUAAAAUAUUAAUAUAAAUAUUUUUCAAUAAUAUAUUAAAAAUAUUAAAAUUUAAUAUUAUUAUUACUAAAAUUAAUUAUUAAAAUAAAAAAUGUAAUAUUAAAUAAUUUAUUGUAUUAUUAAAUAUAAAUAAUUAAAUAUGUAUUUUAUAAUAUUUUAAUAUUCUUAAACAGCCAUGUUUUAUAGAUGCUGGUGAUCGUGAUGGUGCAGGCCCUUCUUGUUAUAAUUACUAUAAUUUCUAGUGCAAUAAUUGAAGUUGUUGGGUGGUCAAGCAAACCUCUUUUUGACUGAAAUGCAUGUAAUAUACUGGGCGAAUCUAGAGGGGUUCGCGUGGUACCGGUCUCUCUAAAGUUUAAAAUUGUUAUUUAAAUUUUUAAUUUUUUUAAAAAAUUUUAAAUUUAAUAAAAGUAAAAUUAUAUUUUUAGCUCUUAAAAUUAUAAAAAUUAUAUUUAAUCCUUUAAAAGUUAUAAAUAUAUAGACUAAAAAAUUAAAAUUUCAUUCGGCUUAUUAAAAGAUUAUUCUGGCUUUGCUCUUGAUACCGAUGUUGAAUAUUUUAGAGUAUGUUUCUUUAACAUGGUUCAAUUAUAUAUUUAUAUAAUAUAAUUAUUGUUCAUGAAUGUGACAUCGUAACUAAGUUCAUAUGCAUGUCAACAUAUAUAUUAUUUUAGGGUUAAUACGUUUUUUUUAAAUGUGAGUUCACCUAUAUAAUGGUAUGAACCCGUCACGCGGUCUCAUGAAAUAUGCGAAUAUAUGUCGUGCGAACACAAAGUACGAACUACACAGAAUAAGGACUAAGACCCAAUUGGGUAAUCGGAUACGGAUCAGUAAUAAUGAAUUUCAUAACAGCCACCAUCCCCUCAUUUGUUCUAAUUUAUUUUAUUUCCAGUGAGUUAUUGUUUAUGAUAAUUCACAACAAAUGUUUUUGUCAUUAUUUUUUGGUAAAUAAUAAUAAGAUUAAACUCUACUUUCUUAAGCUCCUUCAAUUCUUUGGACGUUGGUGGUUUUUUAUUCUAAUCUUAUUUUCUUAUUAAUUUCUUUUUUAUAAUAAAUGUGUUUAUAGAUUAAAUUGGAUUAUAAUUGAGUCAUUGUAUGGAAUUAACAUAAUUCAUAUCGAUUAAAAUUUAUUCGACUGGAAAUACAAAUUUAAAAUUUUACUUCAAUUUAUCUUAAUUUAUAAAUGAUGAAUUUAAAUUUAUUUUUUUCUCUCAUUAUAUUCAGUUUUCCGGAUAAGAUUUGGCCCAGAACAAAAACUAUAACAAUAAAACAAAUAUAUAUGUUUUCCAAAAAUUAAAUUGUUAACUUUUAAAAAAAUAUUUUUAGCUAUUUCUCAUCAUUGAGAAUAAAAAUAAGGUCACCUCGCCUCAUGCUUCAACAACUCAACCUAGAUUCUCAUCACCUGUAUUUAUCAUCGAUUCAGAUUUUUAUUUUUACUAUAUUCAAGAACUACCUAUAAAUCUAUCUUCAAACUUCCUCUGGUUAAGUUCAUUCAUAGAUAGGUGAGUAAACUUGAGCUUCAGCUUCAACAAACACCAUAGUUUGAAGACACAAUUCUCUCAUACUAAAAAUAUGGAAGUUUACCAUGUAAUUAGAGAUUUGGUCUCAUUGCUUGUUGUUGGGUUAUUAAUGAUAUGGGGAUGGAGAACUUUAAACUGGGUAUGGUUGGCCCCAAAGAGGCUCGAAAGGUGCUUGAGACAACAGGGUUUUGCAGGGAAUACUUACAGGUUCCUUUCCGGUGACAUAAAACAGCUCUCAACUAUGGGCAGACAAACAAAAGCCAAACCUAUGCCUCUUAGUGAUGAUAUUGGGCCUUAUUGUUGGAGUUUCAACACACUUUAACCGGGUAAAGUAAGAAUUUUAAACAGAGCACUAGCAGCAACGUAUUAUACCCGGAUAAAAUAUGAAGGAAAAAUGCUUGGAGUUCAAGCUUUUAGCUACUGUCAAGAAUGAAGAACAGAACUUAGAAGUUUUUAGAAGGCAAAAAAAGAUGGAGCAUAUGGAAGAAAAUCUGAUGAUUUCAUUCAUUGAAACAUUGGCUUAAAGCCAUUACAUAUACCAGUCAUUUGGCUGGUCAAAAGAUUAACAAAUCCUUUACCUAAACACUACCUAACUCCACUAAUUACAUAGGGACUAGGUGAUUUUACUUGCAAACAUAAACAAAGAUGGUGAUCAGCUCUAUCACCAUCAAAUUACAUCAAACAUAAACUAAACUAAGUUCAAAAUGAACUAGAUUACAAAAGCAUAGUUAAACGGUAACAAAAUGUAACUGAGACGGAAAAGAAGUAUCAACCCCUUCAGUUGCAUGUAUUUUACUCGGGUAACUUGUGUGUAUGAAUUCUUGCACAUACUUUACCCGGAUAACAUAAGUGCAUUAAUUUUCACGUGCUUGAAUCUGCAUGGGCUGCAUGGGAACUAACUUCAACACUUAUGUUGCUCCUUUUCUUCAUCAAAUUGUCAACCAGUAUGGUUUGUUUUUUAUUUAUUUAUUUAAUCUUCAAUUUAUGAUAAUUCUUUGUUAUUUAUGUAUGGAAUUUAUUGGGAGGAAAUGCAGGAAAGAAUUCAUUUACGUGGUUUGGUCCAAGACCAAGGGUGAACAUUACUGACCCUGAAAAAAUAAGAGAAAUACUUAAACAAAUUUAAUGACUUCCAGAAGGUACAUACCAAUCCACUGCUUAAUUUGCUUGUAAGCGGCCUUGUUAACCUCGAAGGAGACCGAUGGAGCAAGCGUAGAAAAAUCAUAAACCCUGCAUUUCAUCAAGAUAAGUUGAAGGUAUAGAAUAGUGAUGGGUACUCAAGACUUUACAGAAAACAUCAUACUUAAACCUAUGCUUUUCUGAUUUAGAAAUAAUUGGGUGCAGAAUAUGUUGCCAGCAUUUUAUCAAAGUUGUAGUGACAUGUUAAGCAAAUGGGAGAAGAUGGUGUGUACAGAAGGAUACAGUGAGUUAGAUGUGUGGCCUUAUCUCGUAGAUUUGACAAGGGAUGUGAUUUCCCGAUCUGCUUUUGGAAGCAGCUUCGAAGAAGGCAAGCGAAUUUUCCAAUUACUAGGCGACCAACUCGUUCUCAGAAUCAAAUUAAUACAGAUUGUUUACAUUCCAGGAUGGAGGUAACCCUCAACUUAAUUUACUUGAAAAAGGUUGCAAAUGUUGGAAUUCGCUAAAAUCGUGUUUGUUUUCUUGAAGGUUUUUGCCAACAAAGACAAACAGGUAGAUGAAGAUGAAACAGAGACACAUAAAAGAGUCGCUUAGGGAAAUGAUAAAGAGAAGAGAGAAGGCAAUUAAAGCAAGGGAAGAGAGCAAUGAGGACUUGUUGGACAUACUUGUGGAAUCCAAUAUCAGAGAAAUGGAAGCAAAGAAUAUGGGGAUGAGCAUUGAGGACGUGAUUGAGGAAUGCAAGCUGUUUUACUUUGCUGGCCAAGAGACCACUUCAGUCUUACUGGUGUGGACUAUGGUUUUAUUAGCAAGGUAUGCCGAUUGGCAAAGUAAAGCAAGAGAGGAGGUUUUGCAUGUUUUGGGUGACAGUAAACCUGAUGUUGAUGGCCUUAAUCGUCUCAAAGUUGUAAGUCCCUAGCAUGUCUUUUGAAGGUCCGAUCAAUGAGGUCGACAACUCAAAAACUUGGUUUCUUUUUUCGCUAAUUCUACAGGUAACAAUGAUAUUGUACGAGGUUCUAAGGCUGUACCCAUCAGCGACUGAGCUAGGACGUUCCGUUCCAGAAGAAAUAAAACUGGGAAAUUUGUUGUUGCCAGCAGGAACAGAAGUUUCGGUUCCUAUCCUGCUGAUCCACCAUGACAAAGAUCUUUGGGGCGACGACGCACGGGAAUUUAAGCCAGAGCGGUUCGCGGAAGGGGUUUCCAAAGCAACAAAGAGUCAAGUCACGUUUCUGCCAUUCGGAUGGGGUCCUAGGAUUUGCAUUGGCCAAAAUUUUGCUAUGAUGGAAGCCAAAAUGGCAGUGGCUAUGAUUCUCCAACACUUCUGGUUCGAGCUUUCCCCUUCCUAUGCUCACACUCCUUGCAGCAUGGUAACGCUUCGUCCACAGCAUGGUGCACAGAUAAUUUUACAUAAACUUGGCUGUAAUUGAAUAGUUAUGUAAACAAAUUUUUGUGAAAAUAUAGCGUUUUAGUGUAUCGUCAAAGUCCGGUGUCUGUAAUGGUACAAUUCCGAUGCAUGAAUAGUAAAUUUUGAGAUGUUUGGUGAAGUCCGAAAUAAUAUGCAGAAAUUGAGUGUCUUGAAUGGAUGUAGUAUUUAAUGGUGGACAUAGUUGAGGGACUAAUGUGGUAAUUAUCAAACAAAUAAUUGCAUAUGGUACAAAGACUUGUAUGGAAAUUAGAGCUGGGGGAGUAGAAAAUGACUACUUUGCUUUGGGCAUCAAUUUAGAAAGAUUUAAAGUACAAAUGUAUUAUUAGUUUAAGGGAUUUGUUUUAAAGAAGGAAUGACAAUUAAACCUUAUGGUUGAUUUGUGGGAGGGAACCGAUGAUGGGAUAAUUACUCUUAGUGGUAAAAAAAAAAAACUAUUAAGGAGGAUAUUAUACUUGUUAUCACCGGCCAAAAUUCAAAUGGGUUUGGGUUGAAUUAUAUUGAGCUCGCAAGAUGAGUUCAUGGACCAAGCUUGCAUGAUAAUGGGUGUUCACAGAAAGGUAUCUAUAGUUUCCUGUAAAGUCACAUGUGAGAUCGUAUAUUGGGACCGCAUAAACAUGUUUUAUGUUUAGAAUAUGAUAUGUAUCUAUGUGCAUGGAAUCUACCUAGUAUAUUAUAUCAAUGAAUAGUAUCAAUUGCGGAGCCAAAAUUUUUUUUGAGAGGUCAGAAUUAAAUUGCAUAUUUUUACGAAAAUAAAAAUUCAAUUUCACUAUUUUAAUAGUUUAUUUCUUUUUAAUUUUUAAAUGAUUAAAUUAAAUUUUUAUAAAUUUUUAGGAGGUUGAAGUACAAUUAUAUCAUUACUAAUUUAAAAUUUUAUAAAUUAUAAAGGACUUAAAUGAAAAUUUUCCUAUUUUAAAGUGACUAUAAAUAAAUAAAUACCACCAUCUAAAAGACUUAAGAAAAACACUCAACAAUUGUUGAUAAAUAGAGAGAUGUUGGGUAAAUGUCCAAAAUAUGAUUUAAGUGAAGAUACGUGGGGUAGGCGUCAUGGAAAUGUAAAGACAAGAAUCCCACUAAUGUAUGGGAUGUGUACACUUGAAUGUAGGGAGCAAAGAGGAGCGAAUCAUUGUGGUAACAUUUGGACAAGAAACAUAAUGAACAAAAUGAAAGGAGAGGAAGCUAGUAAAAGAUUUUUUUGGGUCAUAUAAUUUGUUUGGUAUAUAUUUUUUUAAUUUUUAAAUAUCAUUUUAGAGUUGAAUUAUAUUUUCUUUUUAUGUUUUAAAACAUAAUUAUUCUAUUUUUAGAGGGUCAAAGUAGAGGUGAGCAUUGGUCGGGCUAUCCGGCCCGGCCUAAAGAUCUACUAGAAAUGUGAGAGGUUUGAAUAAAAAUAUAGGCCCGAAAAAUGGGUUUGGACAAAAAAUAUAAGGUUCGUUUAGAAAACGGGCCGAGCCUUGAGUAAGGCAUUUUUGACCUCGGGCCUAGCCCUGCCUGAAUUCACUAAAAGACAAAAAAAAUUAAUUUUUUAAUAUUAUUUUCUUGUUAUUUUCUCCCUAUUUUGCUAUCAUUUUACUAUUAUUUUGCUACUAUUUUGUUGUUAUUAUUUGGAUAUUAUAUAAAACUUAUUUUAUUGUUAAUUUUGUUAUUAUUUUAGAGACAUUUACUUGUUAAGUUGCAUCUAUCUUAGUGUUAUUUAAGUAUACAUAUUUUUUAAAAUUUAUUUUCAAUUUGUUGAGAAAUAUUUAUUUUGAUAUUUUGAGUAUUUUGGAUGUAUUAUAUAUAUUUUAAAAUUAUAUAAAAAUUAAUAUGGGCAGGCUGGGUCGAGUCCGAGUUUUAGCAUCUUUAUUUGGGUUGGGUUUGGACAAAAUUUUAAGCCCAUUUUUCAGGCUGAGCCUAACAAAUGAUUCUAAAUUUUUAGUUGAGCUCUCAGCCCGGCCUAUGCUCAUAUCUAGUUCAGAGCUGCCCUCACUUUGUAUUUCUUUGAAAUUCAGUCUUAUCUACUGUUGAUUGCCUACUCAAUUGAGGGUUGAGUAGAAAAAUUUGGCGAAGCAAGCAAAGCUAUCAAUCAAGGUUGGAGAAAGCUUAGGAGGUCACAAUGCAUAAUUAUUUAAAUGUAAUUCUAAUAUUUAAAUCAAAUUUAUUAAUAUAGUAUUAACAAGCCUUAAAUGUAAUGAUCAUAUACUAUUACAUUUUCAGGAAGAGAAAAUAUGUUUAAACUUUAAAAAUAACGUAAUUAAAAAUGAUAAUCAUAAAUCUUAAAACAUAAAAAAUAUAAUUAAAAAUUAAUUUUAAACCCUGGAUAAAAUUCUAGUUUUAGAUAAUGAUACUAAUAACAAAUCAAUAUUUAAAUUAAAAUUAAUAUUAAUUUAAUAUAAUUUUUGAGUCUUCAGCAAAGGCACUCAAUGAAUGCUUGGAAAGAAAUAAUGCAACUUGGUGAUAACUUUGUUGGAGUUAUAUGGUCUUAUUAUAGUUUUAUGUUUUUAUGUUGCAGAAAAAACAUAUUGGAAUUUUUCGUGGACUUUCAAGUUUCAUGAUCUUUUCUUAAUACUUUAUGUGAAAAAAAAUAAUGGGAUUUAAAAAUCUAUCAAAAAGCUUCUGUUGUAGGCCAAUUUUGGCUCAAAUACAACCCAAUUAUUCAAACCCCUUAAAACCCAAUACAAAAUAGCCCAACUACUAACCCUAGCCCAGACCAAUAAUAAAAAAUAGCAAAGAAAAAAAGAACCCUGGCCACCCCGUGAUGUUUGCCACCCCACGCCUCUGCAGCACCAUUCCCAGGCAUCACACACUCUCACCAACUCCUCCAUACCCUGCAAAAUGAGACAAACACCAAGACAGAAGCUGACAACACAAGAGCAGUAGCAAGAGGCUUAAAAUAUCGUUUUGAAAUGGCUAUAAGAGGGAGAUCCGAUUGUAAAAAUUGGGGGGGAUUCAAUAUGCAAAAAUUGUAUCACGAAUUUUGGCAAAUCAAAAGCAAAAAAAAAGCACAUAAAAAAGGUUGAAUUUUAUUUCCUUUUUUUGUUUCUUUAUUUUUUAUUUUCCUUUUUUUCUUCAAAAAAUCAGUUUUAAAACAAAAAAAAUAAAAAAAAGAAGAAAGGGGAUUUACCUGAACUUCGGAGCCGCGACAUCGGAGCCCUACUCCGUCGUUGAAAUCGGCUCUCAAAAAGGAAAAUGGGGGUCUCUCCCUUCAGAUUUUCGGGCUAAGAAAAUAGGGCCUUCAGGCGCCCCCAAAAUCGGGGUCAAAAGCCCCCAUUCAAGCAACCCCGACCACCACUUACGGUGGCUCCAUGGCGGCGGCAAUGAUGGGUAUAAACCCUAGCAAAAGGGGAAAUGAGGGAGAGAGAGCCAAGAAACUCUCUGUUUUUUUUGCUUUUCAAAAUGGGGGCUGGAAACACAAAAUAAAAAAAAGGGUUUUAAGUUAUUUGAAAAAAAAGGGCUGCACUUUAACUCGUUUAACAGGCCUAAUAUGUGCCUUUUAAUUGAAAGUGAGGGAAUUAUACAUUAGGUCCUUCUCAUUUGCGCAAACAUUCAAUCAUGCCACAUUUAUUUCACUUCCUUUUUAAUUUGGCUUUAAAACUUACGCAUAUUAGCAAUUCGGUCCCAUUUCUUUUUAUUUUAUUAUUUUCACCCCGAAUUUCUGUCUAGAGUUCAAAUUAGCCCCUUUUCGUCCUUUUCUUUUCUUUUAUAUUUUAUUUUAUUAUUUGAUAUUAUGGUAUUAUAAUUGUAUUUUAUUUUCUUGCAUAUUAUUUGCUAUUAUUAUUAUCACCUUCAUUCCAUUAUUAUUAUUGCUAUUGCUAAGUUUUUUGUUGUUUAUAUUUUUAUUUAUAUUAUUAGUAUAUUGUUAUUCCUUAGUUUAUUAUUAUUAUAUCAUUUUUUAUGUAUUUAUCUACAUUAUUAUUAUUAUUAUUAUUUUUGAACACAUCAUGCAUUUUAAAUUAUUACCAAUUUUAAAUAUUUUAUAUAUAUCAUUAUGUAGUAUUUAUUUUUAGAUUCUUAUACGUAUCUUGGUAUUUUAGAUUAUUACAUGUAUACCUAUAUAUAUAUAUCUUUUAUUUUAAACAUUUUUCUAUGCAUUAUCUUACAUCAAAUUUCUUUUUUUUCACGUUAUUCUUUCUAAAUAUUUUAUAUGUCAUUUGAACUAAAUUCUAUUUUUAAAAUUUUUAUAUAUUACUUAGUUACAUUAUUUUAUAUGAAAAUUAUUUUGAACUCUUUUAUUAUUUAUUGUAAACCUUUAUUAUUGUUAAUUUUAAGACUAUAUAGGUAUUUAUUAAAAAAAAUUCAUAAAUAUUAUUUUGGAUUUAUAUAUAUUUUUAUUUUUGAACAAUAUUUAUUUUAAAAUUUUCUUUUACACAUUUUAAGCUCUUUGGUAAAUUAUUUUAAAGUGUUCUUGUUAUUUUUUUUUGUAUUAUUCAUCUUAUUUCAUUUAACAUAUUGUUUAUUUGAAGUUUGCUUUAUAUAGGUUACUUUAUUUUAUGCCCAAAAUAUUAUAUAUAUUAAUUAUUAUAAAUUGUUUUAUAUUCUUUACUUUAAAUUGCCUUUUCAUUUUAAAAUUGUUUUAUGUAUUAUUUAUUUAAAACUGUCUUAUUAUUUUGAAUUGUUUUAUGCCCCAUUUUUUAGAGCUCAAUUUAUUUAUUUUUAUUUAUCACCCAUUAUACGUUAUUUCCUUAUACUAUUACAUAUUUUAUACUUAUAUAUACAUAUAUAUGUGUAUGCAUCAUUUGAUCUAAAAUUUUUGUAAAUAAAUGUAUCAUCUUUCCUUAAAUCAUUUUAUAUAUUUUAAAUAUCCAUUUUUCACUUUAUUUACUUUUAAAACUUAGUUAUGAUCAUGUUAAAUAGUUUUUAUAUCUUAUUCGUUUUAAUUGGCUUUAUACUAUAUAUUUUUAUAUUAUCACAUAUGUUAUUUCAUUUAUUUGUUUAUUUAUUUUUUUUCUCCUUGAUUACUAAUAUUAACAUUUAAAUAAUGCAUGUUGAGUGAUUAUUGUUAUUGCGUGUACCUUAAUUCAUUCACUUGCGUAUUUAUAUUUGUCGUACAUUUGUGAUGUUAUUCUUGUAUUAUUAUUUCAUGGUCUAUACUCCCUUUCAUUUUGUUUCGUUUAAAUCAUAUCGUGCAUCUACCUCAAAUGUAUUUGUCCAAACAUGGACCGUUUUAAUCCAAACAAAUGAUACACGUCGCUUAAGUAUCACACUUGCUAUGGUUUUUAAAAACAAAAAUUUCAAAAUGAGGCAAUGUUUCGCGUUUUAGAACAUCGAGAAAUUGUGCCCUAACUUAUGGGGUUUCGGUUUUCUCGUUGGUUCUAAAUGUCAAAGUAUCCUUUUGAGUUUUAAAAUACACGAAAUUUUAAUUAAAAUUAAAGAUACACCUAUGCUCGAGAAUUCAUGGUAUGGUGUCCUAACUUACGGGAUGUGAUGCUCCGAUAUCUUGAGAUAAGGAAAUCUUUAAACAAAUUGUUUUGAGCUAAUUCAAAAAUUUUAAAAUUGAUAUUGAUAGAAAAGAUCAUAUUUCAAAUUCAUUCCCGAUUUUUGAUUUUCGACAUUAAGACACUAACUAAUCAAUUCGGUACUAAUUUUUGGGCGUGUCGGGGGCGCUAAUCCUUCCUCGCACAUAACCGACUCCCAAAUUUGUUCUCUUGGAAUUCGUAGACCAAAAUGCCGUUUUACUAAACUAAAAUUGUUAAAACAAAGGUGAUCCGAUCACACCAAAUAAAGAUCGGUGGCGACUUUCGUUUUAAUUUUUGUUUCCAAACAAAGUCGACCCCAUCCUUCAAAAAUCGGUUUCGACAGCUUCACUAUAAUAAUAAUAAUAAUAAUAAAUUGUUACAAUAUUACAACACAAAGUUACAAUAAGAGUUUAUAACUCAACAAAGGCUAUUAAUAAAUAAUCUCACACAAGCUAAAGAAAAAUGUUGAGAAUACCACUCAAAUAGUGACUGACUUUAAAAGUUGAAAACCCGAAGCUAUAGUAUCUCAAACGAAAUCAAACCAUAAACAUUAAAAUUUUUCGAGUCUACCAGCUACUGUAAAAAAUUCAGCUCCAACAGACACCAAAUGAGCCUUUGAUCGAAGAAAAUAUGAAAAUUAGUUUGGGUAUACCAAGCUGCCAAACUUACUUAUCUUAUCUUUAAUUUACAGUGAAAUUCAAAACUAAAGUUUUUGUUUAUUUCACUUAAAAUAACUUUCAAAAAAUUAUUUUUGAAAAAUGGAUUGGUUUUUCGAAAUAGAUGAUAUUUUAUUGUGUUAGAAUAUUAUUCGUUGUUUGAAAACUUUUUUUAAAUCAUUUUCUUAGAGUUAUUUUUAGUGAAACAAACAUAACAUAAAUAUAUUUGUUACAAAAAAUUAUAUUAGUAUUUUCUUUUGACAAUUAAAAUUUAUUUUAUGAUAAGACAAUAUUUUAUAAUAGUUAAUAUCAUAUAUAUAUACACGUAAUAAUAAAUUAUGUUUAAUUAAAAAUUAAUUUAAAUUAAAUAUAUUAAUAAAGCUACAUAUAAUCAUAUUUUAUAUAAUUAAAAUAUUAAUAUAAAUAUUUUUUAAUAAUAUAUUAAAAAUAUUAAAAAUUUAAAAUUAUUAUUACUAAAAUUAAUUAUUAAAAUAAAAAAUGUAAUAUUAAAUAAUUUAUUCAAUGAUAAGUACUUAUAUUAAUAAUUUAUCGUAUUAUUAAAUAUAAAUAAUUAAAUAUGUAUGUUUAAUCAUAUUACGUUAUAAUAUUUUAAUAUUCUUAAAACAGUUUUAAAGAUGCUGGUGAUGGUGAUGCUGCAGGCCCUUCUUGUUAAUUUUUAGUGCAAUAAUUGAAGUUGUAGGGUGUGGUCAAGCAAACCUCUUUUGACUGAAAUGCAUGUGAUAUACCGGUAAGUGGCGUAUCUAGAGGGGGACUGGCGUUGCCCUCGCCCCCUCCUCCCCACCCCCCCCCCCCCCCCAAAAAAAAUUGAAAUUGUUAUUUAAAUUUUUUCAAAAAUUUUAAAUUAAUAAAAGUAACAUUAUACUUUAUCCUCUAAAAUUAUAAAAAUUCUAUUUAAUCCUUUAAAAAUUAUAAAUAUAUAGACUAUAAAAAAUUAAAAUUUCAUUCGACCCCCCUAAAAUAUUGUUCUGGCUUCGCCCUUGAUACCGAUGUUGAAUAUUUUAGAGUAUAUGUCUUCUUUAACAAGGUUAAAUUAUAUAUUUGUAUAAUAUAGUUAUUGUUCAUGGACGUGACAUCGUAACUAGGUUCUUAUGCAUGUUAACAUAUAUCCUAUUUUAGGGUUAACAUGUAUUUUUUAAAUGUGAAUUCAUCUGUAUAAUGAUAUGAACCCAUCACGCGAUCUCAUAAAAUAUGCGAAUAUAUGUCAUGCGAACACAAAAUACAAACCACACACAAUACAUAUCAAGACCCAAUUGUGUAAUUGGAUACGGAUCAGUAAUAAUGAAUUUUCAUAACAGCCACCAUCCCCUCUUUUUUUUCUAAUUUAUUUUAUUUCCAGUGAGUUAUUAUUUAUGAUAAUUCACAACAAAUGUUUUUGUCAUUAUUUUGUUGGUAAAUAAUAAUAAGAUUAAACUUUACUUUCUUAAGCUCCUUCAAUUCUUUGGACGUUGGUGGUUUUUAUUCUAAUCUUAUUUUCUUAUUAAUUUCUUUUUUAUACAUGUAUGGUAUUAACAUUAUAUCAAUUAAAAUUUAUUCGACUGAAAAUAUAAAUUUAAAAUUGUACUUCAAUUUAUCUUAAUUUAUAAAUGAUGAAUUUAAAUUUAUUUUUUUCCUCUCAUUAUAUUUUUCCGGAUAAUAUUUGGCCCUAGAACAAAAACUAAAACAAUAAAACAAAUAUAUAUGUUUUCCAAAAAUUAAAUUGUCAACUUUAAAAAUAUAUAUUUUUAGCUAUUUAUCAUCAUAGAGAAAAAAAAAAAAAAGGUCACCUAGCCUCAUGCUUCAACACCUCAACCUAGAUUCUCAUCACCUGUAUUUAUCAUUGAUUCAGAUUUUUAUUUUUACUAUAUUCAAGAACUACCUAUAACUAUAUCUUCAAACUUCCUCUGGUUAAGUUCAUUCAUAGAUAGGUGAGUAAACUUGAGCUUCAGCUUCAACAAACACCAUAGUUUGAAGACACAAUUCUCUCAUACUAAAAAUAUGGAAGUUUACCAUGUAAUUAGAGAUUUGGUCUCAUUGCUUGUUGUUGGGUUAUUAAUGAUAUGGGGAUGGAGAGCUUUAAACUGGGUAUGGUUGGCCCCAAAGAGGCUCGAACGGUGCUUGAGACAACAGGGUUUUGCAGGGAAUCCUUACAGGUUCCUUUCUGGUGACAUAAAAGAGCUCUCAACUAUGAGCAGACAAACAAGAGCCAAACCUAUGCCUCUUAGUGAUGAUAUUGGGCCUUAUGUUGCUCCUUUUCUUCAUCAAACUGUCAACCAGUAUGGUAUGUUUUUUAUUAUUUAAUCUUCAAUUUAUGAUAAUUCUUUGUUAUUUAUGUAUGGAAUUUAUUGGGAGGAAAUGCAGGAAAGAAUUCAUUUACGUGGAUUGGUCCAAGACAAAGGGUGAACAUUAUGGACCCUGAAAAACUAAGAGAAAUAUUUACCAAAUUUAAUGACUUCCAGAAGAUACGUACCAAUCCACUGCUUACUUUGCUUGUAAGCGGCCUUGUUAACCUCGAAGGAGACCGAUGGAGCAAGCAUAGAAAAAUCAUAAACCCUUCAUUUCAUCAAGAUAAGUUGAAGGUAUAGAAUAGUUAUGGGUACUCAGACUUUACAGAAAAUAUCAUACUUAAACCUAUGCAUUUCUGAUUUAGAAAUGAUUGGGUGCAGAAUAUGUUGCCAGCAUUUUAUCAAAGUUGUAGUGACAUGUUAAGCAAAUGGGAGAAGAUGGUGUGUACAGAAGGAUACAGUGAGUUAGAUGUGUGGCCUUAUCUCGUAGAUUUGACAAGAGAUGUGCUUUCCCGAUCUGCUUUUGGAAGCAGCUUCGAAGAAGGCAGACGAAUUUUCCAAUUACUAGACGACCAACUCGUUCUCAGAAUCAAAUUACUACAAACUGUUUACAUUCCAGGAUGGAGGUAACCCUCAACUUAAUUUACUUGAAAAAGGUUGCAAAUAUUGGAAUUGGCUAAAUUCGUGUUCGUUUUCUUGAAGGUUUUUUCCCACAAAGACAAACAGGGAGGUGAAGAUGAAACACAAAGACAUAAAAGAGUUGCUUAGGGAAAUGAUAAACAGAAGAGAGAAGGCAAUUAAAGCAGGGGAAAAGAGCAAUGAGGACUUGUUGGACAUACUUGUGGAAUCCAAUAUCAGAGAAAUGGAAGCAAAGAAUAUGAGGAUGAGCAUUGAGGAUGUGAUUGAGGAAUGCAAGCUGUUUUACUUUGCUGGCCAAGAGACCACUUCGGUCUUACUGGUGUGGACUAUGGUUUUAUUAGCAAGGUAUCCCGAUUGGCAAAGUAAAGCAAGAGAGGAGGUUUUGCAUGUUUUGGGUGACAGUAAAC